GACGAACGCUGGCGGCGUGCUUAACACAUGCAAGUCGAACGGUGAGCCUCUUCGGAGGGGCUCAGUGGCGAACGGGUGAGUGACACGUGGGCAACCUGCCCCCGGCUCUGGGAUAACUCCAAGAAAUUGGGGCUAAUACCGGAUGUCCACCUCUUCCCGCAUGGGUGGGGGUGGAAAGGGUUUCCGGCUGGGGAUGGGCCCGGGGCCUAUCAGCUUGUUGGUGGGGUAGUGGCAUACCAAGGCGCCGACUGGUAGCCGGCCUGAGGGGGUGACCGGCGACACUGGGCCUGAGACAGGGACCAGACUCCUACGGGAGGCAGCAGUGGGAAAUAUUGCGCAAUGGGCGGAAGCCUAACGCAGCGACGCCGCGUGGGGGAUGACGGCCUUCGGGUUGUAAACCUCUUUCAGCAGGGACGAAGCGCAAGUGACGGUACCUGCAGAAGAAGCACCGGCCAACUACGUG
rnacentral:rRNA from 1 species